GCUGAUUGACAGGUCUCUAAGAGUGAAGGAAUACGACAUUUCCAUGUGAAAGUCUGCUUUCAAUGUAGCGUCCCUUUGCUCUUGUUGACCUCCUGCGAGUGUCCUCCGCUGUGACCCGAUCCGCGCUCUUUCCCAGCUGAACAUCAUGAGCUUCGUGGCCGAGCUGCUGGAGUGGUUUGAAGUGAAGAAGCCGGAUUUCGUUCAGCCCAUGGAACCCCUCGACCUCACAGGUCUGUGACUUCCUGUCGCUAACGAGCUCAUGUCCACACCGUUAGAAUUCCUCUGAAACCGCCUCCUUGUCUUUCAGAUGCCUCGGGGCUGUUAGACUGUACGAGUCCUGUGAACAGUGGUUGUCCUUCCUUCAUCUUCAAACAACCCUUUGUUCCCAUCUGCUCCCCAGUGUCGCCAGAAAACAAGAGUUGGACAAAGAAACAAAUCAGGUGAUCAUGCGUGUGUGGUGAUGACCAUCGCGGCGGUCGCGAAGCAUCACACUUUAC
ensembl:lncRNA